rnacentral:rRNA from 1 species
GAAUUGACGGGGGCCCGCACAAGCGGUGGAGCAUGUGGUUUAAUUCGAUGCAACGCGAAGAACCUUACCUGGUCUUGACAUCCACGGAAGUUUUCAGAGAUGAGAAUGUGCCUUCGGGAACCGUGAGACAGGUGCUGCAUGGCUGUCGUCAGCUCGUGUUGUGAAAUGUUGGGUUAAGUCCCGCAACGAGCGCAACCCUUAUCCUUUGUUGCCAGCGGUCCGGCCGGGAACUCAAAGGAGACUGCCAGUGAUAAACUGGAGGAAGGUGGGGAUGACGUCAAGUCAUCAUGGCCCUUACGACCAGGGCUACACACGUGCUACAAUGGCGCAUACAAAGAGAAGCGACCUCGCGAGAGCAAGCGGACCUCAUAAAGUGCGUCGUAGUCCGGAUUGGAGUCUGCAACUCGACUCCAUGAAGUCGGAAUCGCUAGUAAUCGUGGAUCAGAAUGCCACGGUGAAUACGUUCCCGGGCCUUGUACACACCGCCCGUCACACCAUGGGAGUGGGUUGCAAAAGAAGUAGGUAGCU